GUUUGAUCCUGGCUCAGGAUGAACGCUAGCUACAGGCUUAACACAUGCAAGUCGAGGGGAAACGAUAUUGAAAGCUUGCUUUCGAUAGGCGUCGACCGGCGCACGGGUGAGUAACGCGUAUCCAACCUGCCCAUAACUAAGGGAUAAUCCGUAGAAAUGCGGUCUAAUACUUUAUGUGAUCCGAGGAAGACAUCUGAUUUGGAUUAAAGAUUUAUCGGUUAUGGAUGGGGAUGCGUCUGAUUAGAUUGUUGGCGGGGCAACGGCCCACCAAGUCUGCGAUCAGUAGGGGUUCUGAGAGGAAGGUCCCCCACAUUGGAACUGAGACACGGUCCAAACUCCUACGGGAGGCAGCAGUGAGGAAUAUUGGUCAAUGGGCGGGAGCCUGAACCAGCCAAGUAGCGUGCAGGAUGACGGCCCUAUGGGUUGUAAACUGCUUUUGUAUGGGGAUAAAUUGCUCCACGUGUGGAGUAUUGCAGGUACCAUACGAAUAAGGACCGGCUAAUUCCGUGCCAGCAGCCGCGGUAAUACGGAAGGUCCGGGCGUUAUCCGGAUUUAUUGGGUUUAAAGGGAGCGUAGGCCGUGGAUUAAGUGUGUUGUGAAAUGUAGGCGCUCAACGUCUGACUUGCAGCGCAUACUGG
rnacentral:rRNA from 1 species